UACGAAGGGGGCUAGCGUUGCUCGGAAUUACUGGGCGUAAAGCGCACGUAGGCGGCUUCUUAAGUCGGUGGUGAAAUCCUGGAGCUCAACUCCAGAACUGCCUUCGAUACUGAGAAGCUCGAGUCCGGGAGAGGUGAGUGGGAACUGCGAGUGUAGAGGUGAAAUUCGUAGAUAUUCGCAAGAACACCAGUGGCGAAGGCGGCUCACUGGCCCGGUACUGACGCUGAGGUGCGAAAGCGUGGGAGCAACAGGGA
rnacentral:rRNA from 1 species